CAAAUUUGUAAAAUAGAUUUUGGUAAUUACAAAAAUAUAUAAAACUAUAAUAAUUUUUUUUGGUUUGAGAGGUUAGAAGAUAAAACUACAAGAAAAUGAAAAAACUAAAUACAAAUACAAAAAUAUUGAAAUUUUAUUUUUUGAUACUUCACUUUCUUUCUCUUUGACUGUGUUCAAUUCUUUUUAACUUUAUCCUCUUUUCUAUGGGUUGUGAUCCAAAAAGACAAAUGAAAGACAACUUUGAAUUUGUCGUUUUUGAGAGUACAAAGAAGACAAAAACUAAGAUAUCUCUGUCUUUUCUUUUAAGUCAAAAGGGG
rnacentral:misc_RNA from 1 species